rnacentral:piRNA from 1 species
GGCAACGGAAGGGUUUUUCAGAGUC